UAUUUUCAUCCUCACAUAAGUUAGGUUAUGCCUGUUUGGUUUUAGGUUGGGGUGACCACGGAGUAUAAAACAACCUCCAUGAAAAAAGGACCAAAAAUCCUUAUUAGAGAAAGACAUUUCUAAAAUUAAUAAAUUAAUUUUUAAUGAUCCGAUAUUCGAUCAACGAACCAAGUUACCCUGGGGAUAACAGCGCAAUCCACUUCAAGAGCUCCUAUCGACAAGUGGGUUUACGACCUCGAUGUUGGAUCAGGGUAUCCUAGUGGUGCAGCAGCUACUAACGGUUCGUUUGUUCAACGAUUAAAACCCU
rnacentral:rRNA from 1 species